rnacentral:lncRNA from 1 species
AGAAACAAAAUUGAGAGAAACAGUUCGAAUGCCAAGACAGAAACAAUUCGAAUGCCAACAAAAUUUUUGGCUUUCUGUAGUAGUAUAUGGAAAUUGGAAACACUUAAACUUGCUAUCUAUAAUUCUAUAUUCUUCUUUUUUUUCUAUUUGAAAACACCAUAUUCAAAACAAAAUAAAAACACCUGAACAUCCAACAUUUUACACUGCCAAUUACAUUUGCAGUGUCCCAAUUACAUUUACACACUGCCAUUGCCAAGAACACCUGAACAACCAAUAUUUCAGGAAACACCUACAGUUAUAUUUAUACACGGCAAUUAUAUUUACCAACUGGAAACACCUGAACAACCAACAUUCUUCGAAAAAAGGCCAUCCACAAACAGAGCAAACACCUGAACAUUGGCAUUCAUUCACAAUUCAGCAAAACCAUAAACACAACCAUAAUCAGCUCUGUUUAAGGAACAACAAGAGCUCAAAAUGCACCUUAGCCAAAAUGUUUACUUUCAUUUUAUUGAACAUACCCAAAUACCCAAUAAUAUAAUUUCAAGGUAAAACAAAUAAAAACUGGUAAAAAGGUUUAAAAAAAGAGUUAAUCUUUAGCAGCUCUAGCACAAAUUAUGGAAGAAACUAGAAACAUACCUUUGAAUUUUGAUUAGCAGCCGAUCUCUUUGAAGUCCCAACAAGCUUUUGAAACAACGGCCCAUCUCUUUCUGAAUUUGUGAAACUAUCGCAACAACAGCCGAUCUCUUUCUGUAUUUGGUCUUCGUUUGCCCGGAAUUUGUGAAACUAUCGCCCUAAAUCGGAAUUGACUUUCUGAGGAGUGAGGACUGAGGAGUGAGCUGAGUUCGUGACUGCCUAGUGCCUAAUGCUAAUGCCCUAAUCUUU